rnacentral:rRNA from 1 species
GUACACAAAAAUGCACAUGCUGUGAGCUCGAUGAGUAGGGCGGGACACGUGGUAUCCUGUCUGAAUAUGGGGGGACCAUCCUCCAAGGCUAAAUACUCCUGACUGACCGAUAGUGAACCAGUACCGUGAGGGAAAGGCGAAAAGAACCCCGGCGAGGGGAGUGAAAAAGAACCUGAAACCGUGUACGUACAAGCAGUGGGAGCACGCUUAGGCGUGUGACUGCGUACCUUUUGUAUAAUGGGUCAGCGACUUAUAUUCUGUAGCAAGGUUAACCGAAUAGGGGAGCCGAAGGGAAACCGAGUCUUAACUGGGCGUUAAGUUGCAGGGUAUAGACCCGAAACCCGGUGAUCUAGCCAUGGGCAGGUUGAAGGUUGGGUAACACUAACUGGAGGACCGAACCGACUAAUGUUGAAAAAUUAGCGGAUGACUUGUGGCUGGGGGUGAAAGGCCAAUCAAACCGGGAGAUAGCUGGUUCUCCCCGAAAGCUAUUUAGGUAGCGCCUCGUGAAUUCAUCUCCGGGGGUAGAGCACUGUUUCGGCAAGGGGGUCAUCCCGACUUACCAACCCGAUGCAAACUGCGAAUACCGGAGAAUGUUAUCACGGGAGACACACGGCGGGUGCUAACGUCCGUCGUGAAGAGGGAAACAACCCAGACCGCCAGCUAAGGUCCCAAAGUCAUGGUUAAGUGGGAAACGAUGUGGGAAGGCCCAGACAGCCAGGAUGUUGGCUUAGAAGCAGCCAUCAUUUAAAGAAAGCGUAAUAGCUCACUGGUCGAGUCGGCCUGCGCGGAAGAUGUAACGGGGCUAAACCAUGCACCGAAGCUGCGGCAGCGACACUGUGUGUUGUUGGGUAGGGGAGCGUUCUGUAAGCCUGCGAAGGUGUGCUGUGAGGCAUGCUGGAGGUAUCAGAAGUGCGAAUGCUGACAUAAGUAACGAUAAAGCGGGUGAAAAGCCCGCUCGCCGGAAGACCAAGGGUUCCUGUCCAACGUUAAUCGGGGCAGGGUGAGUCGACCCCUAAGGCGAGGCCGAAAGGCGUAGUCGAUGGGAAACAGGUUAAUAUUCCUGUACUUGGUGUUACUGCGAAGGGGGGACGGAGAAGGCUAUGUUGGCCGGGCGACGGUUGUCCCGGUUUAAGCGUGUAGGCUGGUUUUCCAGGCAAAUCCGGAAAAUCAAGGCUGAGGCGUGAUGACGAGGCACUACGGUGCUGAAGCAACAAAUGCCCUGCUUCCAGGAAAAGCCUCUAAGCAUCAGGUAACAUCAAAUCGUAC